CAACUCUUAGCGGUGGAUCACUUGGCUCGUGCGUCGAUGAGGAACGCAGCUAGCUGCGAGAAUUAAUGUGAAUUGCAGGACACAUUGAUCAU
rnacentral:rRNA from 2 species